rnacentral:rRNA from 1 species
GAUUGAACGCUGGCGGUAUGCUUAACACAUGCAAGUCGAACGGAAACGAUACUAGCUUGCUAGUAGGCGUCGAGUGGCGGACGGGUGAGUAACGCGUAGGAAUCUGCCUGAUAGUGGGGGAUAGCCCGAAGAAAUUCGGAUUAAUACCGCAUAAUCUAUUCGUAGUAAAGUGGGGGACUUUCGGGCCUCACGCUAUCAGAUGAGCCUGCGUAAGAUUAGCUUGUUGGUAGGGUAAAAGCCUACCAAGGCGACGAUCUUUAGCUGGUCUGAGAGGAUGAUCAGCCACAUCGGGACUGAGACACGGCCCGAACUCCUACGGGAGGCAGCAGUGGGGAAUAUUGGACAAUGGGGGCAACCCUGAUCCAGCAAUACCGCGUGUGUGAAGAAGGCCUGAGGGUUGUAAAGCACUUUCAAUUGUGAAGAAAAGUUAGCGGUUAAUAACCGUUAGCCUUGACGUUAACUUUAGAAGAAGCACCGGCUAACUCCGUGCCAGCAGCCGCGGUAAUACGGAGGGUGCAAGCGUUAAUCGGAAUUACUGGGCGUAAAGCGUGCGUAGGCGGUUUAUUAAGUCAGAUGUGAAAGCCCCGGGCUUAACCUGGGAACUGCAUUUGAAACUGGUCAACUAGAGUAUGGUAGAGGAAAGUGGAAUUUCUGGUGUAGCGGUGAAAUGCGUAGAUAUCAGAAGGAACAUCAAUGGCGAAGGCAGCUUUCUGGACCAAUACUGACGCUGAGGUACGAAAGCGUGGGUAGCAAACAGGAUUAGAUACCCCUGGUAGUCCACGCCGUAAACGAUGAUAACUAGCCGUUGGGGGGAUUUACCCUUUAGUGGCGAAGCUAACGCGUUAAGUUAUCCGCCUGGGGAGUACGGCCGCAAGGUUAAAACUCAAAGGAAUUGACGGGGACCCGCACAAGCGGUGGAGCAUGUGGUUUAAUUCGAUGCGACGCGAAGAACCUUACCUGGUCUUGACAUCCUGCGAACUUUCUAGAAAUAGAUUGGUGCCUUCGGGAACGCAGUGACAGGUGCUGCAUGGCUGUCGUCAGCUCGUGCCGUGAGAUGUUGGGUUAAGUCCCGUAACGAGCGCAACCCCUAUCCUUAUUUGCCAGCACAUCAUGGUGGGAACUAUAAGGAGACUGCCGGUGAUAAACCGGAGGAAGGCGGGGACGACGUCAAGUCAUCAUGGCCCUUACGACCAGGGCUACACACGUGCUACAAUGGGAAGGACAAAGAGCCGCGAAGCCGCGAGGUGUAGCUAAUCUCAUAAACCUUUUCGUAGUCCGGAUUGGAGUCUGCAACUCGACUCCAUGAAGUCGGAAUCGCUAGUAAUCGUAGAUCAGAAUGCUACGGUGAAUACGUUCCCGGGUCUUGUACUCACCGCCCGUC